rnacentral:pre_miRNA from 1 species
AAUAAGAUCAUUUUCCAGUUCUUUUCCUACAAUGUUUUGACUUUUCGUCUUAUUUAAAUUUUUUUUGCGAUUAAUACUUUUAUUUUUACUAGAUGAUAAAACAUGAAUAGUACUCUAUGCGUGACUAAUUUCUUUAAUUUUUUGUACAAUUUUUUUCAAAUAAGACGAAUGGUCAGUUGGACACGGAAAAACGGAAA